UUCCCAUUUAUAGAGUCAAAUGACAAUGCCUCCAUUUAUAGAUCUUUAGAUAUAGAUUCAAACAACCCUGCCAUCAAGGUACUAUACAUUAUAAAGAUACUCAUAAACAAAUAUUAACCUAAAACGAUUAAAACCGCACGUCGUUCUUUAUCAGUAAAAAAUUCCGAUGCAGUCAUUUAUAAUUUAAAGAUUAUAUUAUGCCAUCAAAUAUAAGACUUGUUCGAUUUGAAGAUGUACAAUACAAUAGAGUUUAAAAUAAUAGAGAUAAUAGAUAUAAUCUACAAGAAUUUAAUAGCUUUAUUUUAACUUAGUUUUUCUUAUUAAAAAAUUAUAUUAAAAUAAUGUAAAAUUCAGAUAAACAUAAUUUUUAAAAGGGUUUAAGGAUCGAAGUCUUUAAAAGUCUAUAGGGUAUGCUAGAAACUUAUCAGAUAUAUAGUAAGAUAUAUCUGAUAUCUGAUAUGACAAAGAUUAACCUUCAAUAAGUUUAUUAUUUUGUCCUGCGAUAAAUAAAGUUCUUUCCCGUAGUUUUGCAACGUCUUGCUUAAUUGCAAAAAUUGAGGGCACGUCUCGUGAAACAGUACGUAUUUCGUUAGUUAGCUUUAAUCAACGUCACCCUUUUGAAUCUAAAAAAUACUGACGAAAUUAUAUGACGCUAUUCGAGAAACUACUCAGCAACCAGUUAAACCAUAAAAUCAGUACAGAUGUCCUACACUCACAUAAAAAACCAAACGUGAUCACAGUCAUUAUGAUAUCAUUACGAACAAGUGUAUUUAAAAAGUAGUUCAGGAAACAAAAGCCCUAGAAAGCUUUGUUUAUUUUUUCUGAAACAAGGCUUAAUCAUUGUUUAUUGUUCUUUUUGCUGAUUGGAUUUCGUAUUGUUUGGAUAUAUUUAAAAUAUUGUAUAUAUCGAAGAGUUGAGAUAAUCCAAACAAACUUCCAAGUGUUCUACAACAGCUGGGCACUUAAGAAUUAACAAUUUUCUCCAAUUUCGGACAAAUAUAUGGAUACUCUAGAAAAUAAAUAAUAAAUCAAGAAAAAACAAAUAUCAGUUACAUACAAACAAACGAAUUCUACUGAAAAUAUGACCCUUUUUGUCUUUAUCAACUGAGAAAAACUGAGAAAAUCAUGAGUUUUAGUUUCUUAUCUAAUGAGAGCACCGAUAAGGGGACUCGAAGUUUGACUAAUUGGACCUGAUUUGUUCCCAGACUGCAGUGGGAGUGGGCCAUGGGAGUGUACCUGAUGCAGUUACCAAUAAAUAAAUUAAAGCCAAAUGGUUCUCCAAACUCCAGAUGGAACCGGUACCUUCGGGUGUUGAGUGCGUCAGUGCGAAAUAAUGUUGUUAAUUAAAUUUAGCCACCGAUCCAGACUAAUGGAUUAAUGGAGGAGAUUCGCAUGUGAGGUUCGAAAUGAGUCAUAAAUGGUAAAAUGACGGAAAAUUUUAAUUCCGAAAUGAUCAUAACUGGUUGAUCAAAUAUUAGAGUUUUAUUUAUCACAUUUUUCUUAUUGUUUAUUCUUUUCAAAAUUAUCAAGCUUCUAUAUAUAAAUAUUUUAAAAUAUUUCAAUCAUCACACAGAGAAGGAAUAACUAUAUUUGGAUCCUUAAUUGUUUUGCAAAAUCUUUGUAAGCAAUUUUAAAUAUUUGUAUAGAUUUCAGUUGCUGGAAAUUUGUAAAACUGUUAAGUAAUGCCAAGCUUGCAAAGUAAUUGUUUAAAGUGCACAGAUCACUUUGCAAACUCACUUCAAAAAUGACUCACAAGCCCAUUAAGUUGGAAUAAAUUGUUUUUGUGAGGCAUUUAGACUUAAAAUUUCAAACAGAAACAGAAAUUAUUUAUGGACUUUAAUGAGUACAAUCUAGAUAUCAGAUGUACUAUUAUAUUGUGCUAUCCUUCGUAACUACACCUCCAAUAAAAAUGUUUACAUCGUAGAAUGGUUUUAAAAAACUUUAUGAAAACUCAAGCGGGUUUACCAGUUCUUAUUUGGGACUAAACAUUUACAAGGUCCAACAAUUAAAACUUAAAUAGAAUAUACUAAAGGUAACUUAAGUACGGGUACUUAGAAACUAAAUAAUACUAGGCAUUGCAACCACUGGUCGCUCCAUCGAAUGUGUAUAGUUGUGUUUGCAAGUCUUUCUGCUGGUGACAACACUUACAGCUAAUUAGUUAAUAAUAUUAAGUCACAUUUUGGCGAUAUUGGUCACUCUCGUUCGAAAUAAAAUAUAUGCAUAUAUGUAUAUCCGAAAGCUCCUCAAUCUUUGGCACAAAUACUGUAAGUACCCCUUCUUCUACAUCUUC